AACAAACAGAAAAUAAACUUCCUCAAAAGUAUUUUCUUCUCUCUUCUUUUCUUUUCUUCUCCUUUCCUUCUCUUUCUCUCUCUCUC
rnacentral:ribozyme from 13 species